rnacentral:rRNA from 1 species
AUAUCAAUAAGCGGAGGAAAAGAAACCAACAGGGAUUGCCUUAGUAACGGCGAGUGAAGCGGCAACAGCUCAGAUUUGAAAGCCGGCAACAGCCCGCAUUGUAAUCUGUAGAGGAACGUUCGGCGAUGCUGUCGGUCCAAGUCUUCUGGAACGGAGCGUCUUGGAGGGUGAGAACCCCGUUGCGACCGGCGAGCAGAGCCGCGUGAACGUCCUUCGAAGAGUCGAGUUGUUUGGGAAUGCAGCUCAAAACGGGUGGUAAAUUCCAUCUAAAGCUAAAAUAUUGGCCAGAGACCGAUAGCGCACAAGUA